UGGGGUUCCCGAGCGGCCAAAGGGAGCAGACUGUAAAUCUGCCGUCAUCGACUUCGAAGGUUCGAAUCCUUCCCCCACCACCA
rnacentral:tRNA from 2 species